rnacentral:rRNA from 1 species
UUUCUUUGCUGGCGACCGGCGCACGGGUGAGUAACACGUAUCCAACCUGCCCUUUACUCGGGGAUAGCCUUUCGAAAGAAAGAUUAAUACCCGAUGGCAUAAUGAUUCCGCAUGGUUUCAUUAUUAAAGGAUUCCGGUAAAGGAUGGGGAUGCGUUCCAUUAGGUUGUUGGUGAGGUAACGGCCCACCAAGCCUUCGAUGGAUAGGGGUUCUGAGAGGAAGGUCCCCCACAUUGGAACUGAGACACGGUCCAA